GACGUAGGGCGCGAGCGUUGUCCGGAUUUAUUGGGCGUAAAGAGCUCGUAGGCGGCUCGUUGCGUCGGCUGUGAAAACCCGCAGCUCAACUGUGGGCUUGCAGCCGAUACGGGCGGGCUGGAGUUCGGUAGGGGAGACUGGAAUUCCUGGUGUAGCGGUGAAAUGCGCAGAUAUCAGGAAGAACACCCGUGGCGAAGGCGGCUCUCUGGGACGGUACUGACGCUGAGACGCGAAAGCGUGGGGAGCGAACAGG
rnacentral:rRNA from 1 species